AUUGAACGCUGGCGGCAGGCUUAACACAUGCAAGUCGAGCGGAGAGAAGUAGCUUGCUACUGAUCUUAGCGGCGGACGGGUGAGUAAUGCUUAGGAAUCUGCCUAUUAGUGGGGGACAACAUUUCGAAAGGAAUGCUAAUACCGCAUACGUCCUACGGGAGAAAGCAGGGGAUCUUCGGACCUUGCGCUAAUAGAUGAGCCUAAGUCGGAUUAGCUAGUUGGUGGGGUAAAGGCCUACCAAGGCGACGAUCUGUAGCGGGUCUGAGAGGAUGAUCCGCCACACUGGGACUGAGACACGGCCCAGACUCCUACGGGAGGCAGCAGUGGGGAAUAUUGGACAAUGGGCGGAAGCCUGAUCCAGCCAUGCCGCGUGUGUGAAGAAGGCCUUAUGGUUGUAAAGCACUUUAAGCGAGGAGGAGGCUACUUUAGUUAAUACCUAGAGAUAGUGGACGUUACUCGCAGAAUAAGCACCGGCUAACUCUGUGCCAGCCGCCGCCGUAACAC
rnacentral:rRNA from 1 species